UUGGUCCACGCGCGGGAUCCGUGGCGUUCGGAGACGCGGUUAUGCCAGCGCGUGGCCGGCGAAGAUCGCGGGGUGGAGGCGGUCGUGCCCUGCCCGAAUUUCAUGGCGCCCCCGGUCAACCUCGCCUGGAUUCCAGCGGCGCGAUCCGACCUUCGUGGUGAGGAAGAUGACCCCCGACCGGUGGGGCCCACAUGUCAAAGGGAAUGCGCGACUCAGCUGAGAGCCCUAAAGCAAGCCAAGGAUGAGCAUGUACAGAAGUUGAUGAAGGCCUACUUGGUAACCCAUAACCAACGUAGAGCCCUACGGAUCCAAGAGCCCGCUUCAUCCAACCCAGUUCAACCCAGGAGAGCUAAAGAUCCCCAGAUUCUUGAUGGUCACCCGGUCUCUACUAGAGGAGAAAAGAUGGCUUGGGAACUCCCGAAAGGAGCCAUAGUCUUGGAAGGAAUUCCAGUCUUCCCUCAUGCUAUGAAUAAGCAAGAGCACCCCGAAUCCACCCAAGAUCCCCCGCUAGAGUUGUUUGAGCCCCUCACCAUGAAGAAGAUUCCAGCACCAUUCCUUGAGAUCAAGGAAGAAGCUGCAAGCACCCCGCCAGCACCGCUGCCCUCUGAGGAGCUACAAGCGCCAGUCCUGCUUGAAGAAGAGUUUGACCCUGUCCUACCAUCUCAGUCGCUGCCAGAAGAAGUCAUCAACAUCAGCUCCCUCUUAACCCAUCCAGGAGAUGUCUCAGAUGAAGUUGUGCGCCAGCCUUUCCAGAAGAGAAGCUACCUGGUCUGA
rnacentral:misc_RNA from 1 species